rnacentral:lncRNA from 1 species
UUUUUUUCUUCCGCCUAAUUUUUUUUCUUGCGUAGUAUUGAUGUUUCAAAAGAUGUCGCUUAGAUAUUUGGAAUAUGAUAUCGUAUAGUUUAUACGCUUUAAAAAUUUACAACUGCGUAACAAAAUACUUUACGUUGUAAGAGUUAUCUCCCAAACACUGUUUUUCUUGUGGCCACUACUCCUUCGCAACCGUAAAAGAUUACGACAAAUUUAUUUUACCAAAUUGCUCGUUACUUC